GAUGAACGCUGGCGGCGUGCCUAAUACAUGCAAGUCGAGCGAACAGACGAGGAGCUUGCUCCUCUGACGUUAGCGGCGGACGGGUGAGUAACACGUGGAUAACCUACCUAUAAGACUGGGAUAACUUCGGGAAACCGGAGCUAAUACCGGAUAAUAUAUUUAACCGCAUGGUUCAAUAGUGAAAGACGGUUUUGCUGUCACUUAUAGAUGGAUCCGCGCCGCAUUAGCUAGUUGGUAAGGUAACGGCUUACCAAGGCAACGAUGCGUAGCCGACCUGAGAGGGUGAUCGGCCACACUGGAACUGAGACACGGUCCAGACUCCUACGGGAGGCAGCAGUAGGGAACCUUCCGCAAUGGGCGAAAGCCUGACGGAGCAACGCCGCGUGAGUGAUGAAGGUCUUCGGAUCGUAAAACUCUGUUAUUAGGGAAGAACAAAUGUGUAAGUAACUAUGCACGUCUUGACGGUACCUAAUCAGAAAGCCACGGCUAACUACGUG
rnacentral:rRNA from 1 species